rnacentral:rRNA from 1 species
UGCGUAGACGGAAUAUUAAGUCAGUGGUGAAAUCCUGCGGCUCAACCGUAGAACUGCCAUUGAUACUGAUAUUCUUGAAUGUAGUUGAGGUAGGCGGAAUGUGCAAUGUAGCGGUGAAAUGCUUAGAUAUUACACAGAACACCGAUUGCGAAGGCAGCUUACUAAACUAUGAUUGACGCUGAGGCACGAAAGCGUGGGGAGCGAACAGGAUUAGAUACCCUGGUAGUCC